AUAAACUGAGAUAAGAUCUAGUGAAGUCUCAUCUGCAAAAUCUGGAUGCAUGCAUGUGCUUUUGUGUUUGUAUGUGUGAGCUUAAGAAACUUAAGAUUAAAAAUUCCAGACAUUGCAUGCUUGCAUGUGGCAGCCUAAGAACUAACAGCAUUCUAACAUUCCCAGGAAAGCCAGCAAAUUUAUAGUUAUUAAUAAAUGAUUCAGAUUUAAAGACACCCGUUAGUUCCUGACAAAUUAAGUUUGGUAACUGUAAAGAUCUGUGUCAUCCUUACAAUGCCA
rnacentral:misc_RNA from 1 species